ACACACACACACACAAAAGGUUAAUGUUAUACAAUCAGGUAAAGCUUUUGAGGAUACCUGAAGACGACAUUGAGUUGGAUGAACGAGAGAACCCUAGUCUGCAAGUAAUCGUUCAAGGAAAGUCUUCUACUCACUUGAAGCCUUUAUGUUCUUAUGGUGAUAGAACCCUUUUCUUAGAACGUUUUUUCUAUGAGCGGGGAAUUCCUACAUUUAUUGUGGCAAUGGCAGCCAACUUCCAUCUAUCGUGGAAGUAUGGUUAUUGUCCUGUUGCACCAAAUCCCGGUUUAAAUGGAAUAAUGGAUUAGUGGUAAAAUACCUUAAGUGAUUAUUUCAAAACAUUUUGAAUGUGCUUCUACAAAAAUAGGAUGUUAACUUUUCCACGUAUUCAAACUCUAUAGAAUUAUAUUAUCAACAUGUACCCUCUCCUUUAUCACAACUUGUUAAGUCCAAAUAGGAUUCUUAAAUUCUCCCACAUGGACGCUAACUAGUUGUGGUUUAGAAGUUCCAUGUCUAAUAUGAAUUCAUUCUUUAGUGAUCACUUUGAGUUUUAAGCAACUAACGUCUUAUUCACAUUUACUAGUAAUCGUUUAAGGAUUGAACUUUAGGAAAUAAUACAUGUACUAAUAAUGUAUUCACCCUAAAAUCACAAUCCUCAAAUUCAUACUAUAUAAUGCAAGUGUAAUCAAACAUUUAUACACAUUAAUAACAUAAUUUAAUCUGUAUCUCAAUUCAUCUCUCCCACUGAACAAUCCAACUAACCAUUGUCGAGCCUUUGUUUGGUUGCAAUGUUCUCAUAACACUUGAUUAAACAAGCUUCUUUAUCACUCAAGUUCCUGAGCAUUACCUCAACUUGUAUCAGCUUGCUGCAAGCAUAUAUUUGUAUAUACAAACGACUGAAACAAUCAUCAAGGUUGAAUUCAUCAACAUGUCAACUAAAAACCAUGAAGAACAAAACACAUGAAUUCAUACUUAUUCAAAUAGGGAAAUUCACUCCCACAUAACAGCAGAAUUGAAUGAGUCAAUGACUCCCAUAUUCAUGACAUGAUCCUUGAACACUCCAACAACUAAGGGCUUUAUGAGAAGAUACUCCUGCCUUCACCUUUUCCUUUAUGGACAAAUAUUUCACAUCCAUCAUUCAUACAUGUUUAUGUUACACCUUUGGGUAAGAAACAUAAACAUCAUUUUGAAAAUAGAUUAUGUAACCUUAUUGUAUAAUAGUCAUGUAAAAGAUUAGGAAAACAACCAAGAUUUGAAGUCUUUGGACAAUAAAAUAAUCAACUUAAUUCUCUUAAAACUGUUAUACCCUAAAAAAAUCUCAAACCAUUCAUACAUUCUUCUAUUUGGAAAAGAAUAUUGACAUAUUACAAGUUUUAAAACCAUAAUUUACAUAAUCCAGUAGGUACACAAGCCUGCACUUCAAAAUCUCGCUCAGAAGUUUUUCCUGAAAAAGUAAAGGUUAGUGCAAAAAAUAUUUGUGAGAACCCGUAUUCCAUAAUUAUAUUAUAAGUUGUCCUAUAUAUGUGUGUGUGUCAACUAGAGUUGUAUGUUGA
rnacentral:lncRNA from 1 species